ACACUAUAGGACCGUCGGUGGGUCGGCCACCGAAAAGCGCCGAAUUCGGCCCCCGGGGGCCCGCAUCGGCCGCCCCGCCCGGCCAUCUGGCCAGCUGAUUUUCCGUCCGAUUUUUCCACGAGCCGACUUUGCCGACUUAACGGUCGAAUUCGGGGCGAUGUCUGAUGGGGGAGCGGGUCGAAGGCGGCGCACAAGCGUCUCUGCGAGUACGAGGCCAUUACGAGACCGAAUUUUACCAAGUCCCCCCGUCGCCGCACCAGACAAUGCCGCUUUUUCCCUAUGUGGGGUGCCGACUUUUCGCCCGCCAAUCGACGCCCGACUCUCGUGCGAGGUCCGAUUCGCCGAAAUCGGCCGAUCGGCCCGCGCCUACAAAUCAGGGAGUGUAUGGUGAAUGCGGUGCGAAUGCGAAUGCCAACAUCCAGAGCCAGGCGUCACGUUGGCAGCUCUGCACCGGCGGGCCAAUCGCAGCGCCGGAUCGAUCAGUUUGAGCUGAAAGCGCGGCAUUGCAGCGUGUAAAGAGUAGGCUUUUCCCAUGUAAAAUUCGAAAAUUCUACUGUUUCGUUCUUGGUAGGUUCGUAGCGCCUGUCAUGAUGGUGUUUACUGAUUUAAUUGACGUAAGAAAAUCAAAUAUUUCAUGCCGUAGAUCCCAGAAGCUUCUUUCACGGAGCAAAAUUGAUUUAUUUUUUUCUGGUUUUAAAUGUCAGGUGUUAAUUAAAAGAGACGGAUAAUAUAUUC